rnacentral:rRNA from 1 species
ACUCCUACGGGAGGCAGCAGUGGGGAAUAUUGCACAAUGGGGGAAACCCUGAUGCAGCCAUGCCGCGUGUGUGAAGAAGGCCUUCGGGUUGUAAAGCACUUUCAGUAGGGAGGAAGGUAGUGUAGUUAACACCUGCAUUAUUUGACGUUACCUACAGAAGAAGCACCGGCUAACUCCGUGCCAGCAGCCGCGGUAAUACGGAGGGUGGCGAGCGUUAAUCGGAAUUACUGGGCGUAAAGCGCAUGCAGGCGGCCUGUUAAGUCAGAUGUGAAAGCCCGGGGCUUAACCUCGGAAUUGCAUUUGAAACUGGCAGGCUAGAGUCUUGUAGAGGGGGGUAGAAUUUCAGGUGUAGCGGUGAAAUGCGUAGAGAUCUGAAGGAAUACCA